CUGGCUCAGGGAGGUCGGCAACGACCACCCAGAGCCGGAAAGUUGGUCAAACUCGGUCAUUUAGAGGAAGUAAAAGUCGUAACAAGGUCUCCGUAGGUGAACCUGCGGAGGGAUCAUUA
rnacentral:rRNA from 1 species